AGUGGCGAACGGGUGAGUAACGCGUGGAUGAUCUACCUACGAGAUGGGGAUAACUAUUAGAAAUAGUAGCUAAUACCGAAUAAAGUCAAUUAAUUUGUUAAUUGAUGAAAGGAAGCCUUUAAAGCUUCGCUUGUAGAUGAGUCUGCGUCUUAUUAGCUAGUUGGUAGGGUAAAUGCCUACCAAGGCGAUGAUAAGUAACCGGCCUGAGAGGGUGAACGGUCACACUGGAACUGAGAUACGGUCCAGACUCCUACGGGAGGCAGCAGCUAAGAAUCUUCCGCAAUGGGCGAAAGCCUGACGGAGCGACACUGCGUGAAUGAAGAAGGUCGAAAGAUUGUAAAAUUCUUUUAUAAAUGAGGAAUAAGCUUUGUAGGAAAUGACGAAGYGAUGACGUUAAUUUAUGAAUAAGCCCCGGCUAAUUACGUGCCAGCAGCCGCGGUAAUACGUAAGGGGCGAGCGUUGUUCGGGAUUAUUGGGCGUAAAGGGUGAGUAGGCGGAUAUAUAAGUCUAUGCAUAAAAUACCACAGCUCAACUGUGGAACUAUGUUGGAAACUAUAUGUCUAGAGUCUGAUA
rnacentral:rRNA from 1 species